rnacentral:rRNA from 1 species
CGUGUAGGCGGCUGGGUAAGUCAGAUGUGAAAGUCCCGGGCUUAACUCGGGAAGUGCAUUUGAUACUGCUCAGCUAGAGUAAGGGAGAGGAAAGUGGAAUUCCUGGUGUAGGGGUGAAAUUCGUAGAUAUCAGGAGGAACACCGGUGGCGAAGGCGGCUUUCUGGCCCUAUACUGACGCUGAGACGCGAAAGCGUGGGGAGCAAGCAGGAUUAGAUACCCUGGUAGUCC